rnacentral:rRNA from 1 species
CCUACGGGAGGCAGCAGUGGGGAAUUUUCCGCAAUGGGCGAAAGCCUGACGGAGCAACGCCGCGUGAGGGAUGAAGGCCUCUGGGCUGUAAACCUCUUUUCUCAAGGAAGAAGAUCUGACGGUACUUGAGGAAUAAGCCACGGCUAAUUCCGUGCCAGCAGCCGCGGUAAUACGGGAGUGGCAAGCGUUAUCCGGAAUUAUUGGGCGUAAAGCGUCCGCAGGCGGCCUUGUAAGUCUGUCGUUAAAGCGUGGAGCUUAACUCCAUUUCAGCGGUGGAAAC